rnacentral:rRNA from 1 species
AACGUAGGUGGCAAGCGUUGUCCGGAAUUACUGGGCGUAAAGCGUGCGCAGGCGGUUUGCUAAGACAGGUGGGAAAUCCCCGGGCUUAACCUGGGAACUGCGCUUGUAACUGGCAAGCUGGAGUGUGGCAGAGGGGGGUGGAAUUCCACGUGUAGCAGUGAAAUGCGUAGAGAUGUGGAGGAACACCGAUGGCGAAGGCAGCCCCCUGGGCUAACACUGACGCUCAUGCACGAAAGCGUGGGGAGCAAACAGG